GGCGGCGUGCCUAAUACAUGCAAGUGGGACGCAAGGGAACACACUGUGCUUGCACACCGUGUUUUCUUGAGUCGCGAACGGGUGAGUAACGCGUAGGUAACCUGCCUAUUAGCGGGGGAUAACUAUUGGAAACGAUAGCUAAUACCGCAUAAUAUUAAUUAUUGCAUGAUAAUUGAUUGAAAGAUGCAAGCGCAUCACUAGUAGAUGGACCUGCGUUGUAUUAGCUAGUUGGUAAGGUAAGAGCUUACCAAGGCGACGAUACAUAGCCGACCUGAGAGGGUGAUCGGCCACACUGGGACUGAGACACGGCCCAGACUCCUACGGGAGGCAGCAGUAGGGAAUCUUCGGCAAUGGACGAAAGUCUGACCGAGCAACGCCGCGUGAGUGAAGAAGGUUUUCGGAUCGUAAAGCUCUGUUGUAAGUCAAGAACGUGUGUGAGAGUGGAAAGUUCACACAGUGACGGAGCUACCAG
rnacentral:rRNA from 1 species